rnacentral:rRNA from 1 species
GGGUUGUGAGGUUAAGCGACUAAGCGUACACGGUGGAUGCCCUGGCAGUCAGAGGCGAUGAAGGACGUGCUAAUCUGCGAUAAGCGUCGGUAAGGUGAUAUGAACCGUUAUAACCGGCGAUUUCCGAAUGGGGAAACCCAGUGUGAUUCGUCACACUAUCAUUAACUGAAUCCAUAGGUUAAUGAGGCGAACCGGGGGAACUGAAACAUCUAAGUACCCCGAGGAAAAGAAAUCAACCGAGAUUCCCCCAGUAGCGGCGAGCGAACGGGGAGCAGCCCAGAGCCUGAAUCAGUGUGUGUGUUAGUGGAAGCGUCUGGAAAGGCGCGCGAUACAGGGUGACAGCCCCGUACACAAAAAUGCACAUGCUGUGAGCUCGAUGAGUAGGGCGGGACACGUGGUAUCCUGUCUGAAUAUGGGGGGACCAUCCUCCAAGGCUAAAUACUCCUGACUGACCGAUAGUGAACCAGUACCGUGAGGGAAAGGCGAAAAGAACCCCGGCGAGGGGAGUGAAAAAGAACCUGAAACCGUGUACGUACAAGCAGUGGGAGCACAGAGCAAUCUGUGUGACUGCGUACCUUUUGUAUAAUGGGUCAGCGACUUAUAUUCUGUAGCAAGGUUAACCGAAUAGGGGAGCCGAAGGGAAACCGAGUCUUAACUGGGCGUUAAGUUGCAGGGUAUAGACCCGAAACCCGGUGAUCUAGCCAUGGGCAGGUUGAAGGUUGGGUAACACUAACUGGAGGACCGAACCGACUAAUGUUGAAAAAUUAGCGGAUGACUUGUGGCUGGGGGUGAAAGGCCAAUCAAACCGGGAGAUAGCUGGUUCUCCCCGAAAGCUAUUUAGGUAGCGCCUCGUGAAUUCAUCUCCGGGGGUAGAGCACUGUUUCGGCAAGGGGGUCAUCCCGACUUACCAACCCGAUGCAAACUGCGAAUACCGGAGAAUGUUAUCACGGGAGACACACGGCGGGUGCUAACGUCCGUCGUGAAGAGGGAAACAACCCAGACCGCCAGCUAAGGUCCCAAAGUCAUGGUUAAGUGGGAAACGAUGUGGGAAGGCCCAGACAGCCAGGAUGUUGGCUUAGAAGCAGCCAUCAUUUAAAGAAAGCGUAAUAGCUCACUGGUCGAGUCGGCCUGCGCGGAAGAUGUAACGGGGCUAAACCAUGCACCGAAGCUGCGGCAGCGACGCUGAUGCGUUGUUGGGUAGGGGAGCGUUCUGUAAGCCUGCGAAGGUGUGCUGUGAGGCAUGCUGGAGGUAUCAGAAGUGCGAAUGCUGACAUAAGUAACGAUAAAGCGGGUGAAAAGCCCGCUCGCCGGAAGACCAAGGGUUCCUGUCCAACGUUAAUCGGGGCAGGGUGAGUCGACCCCUAAGGCGAGGCCGAAAGGCGUAGUCGAUGGGAAACAGGUUAAUAUUCCUGUACUUGGUGUUACUGCGAAGGGGGGACGGAGAAGGCUAUGUUGGCCGGGCGACGGUUGUCCCGGUUUAAGCGUGUAGGCUGGUUUUCCAGGCAAAUCCGGAAAAUCAAGGCUGAGGCGUGAUGACGAGGCACUACGGUGCUGAAGCAACAAAUGCCCUGCUUCCAGGAAAAGCCUCUAAGCAUCAGGUAACAUCAAAUCGUACCCCAAACCGACACAGGUGGUCAGGUAGAGAAUACCAAGGCGCUUGAGAGAACUCGGGUGAAGGAACUAGGCAAAAUGGUGCCGUAACUUCGGGAGAAGGCACGCUGAUAUGUAGGUGAAGUCCCUCGCGGAUGGAGCUGAAAUCAGUCGAAGAUACCAGCUGGCUGCAACUGUUUAUUAAAAACACAGCACUGUGCAAACACGAAAGUGGACGUAUACGGUGUGACGCCUGCCCGGUGCCGGAAGGUUAAUUGAUGGGGUCAGCGCAAGCGAAGCUCUUGAUCGAAGCCCCGGUAAACGGCGGCCGUAACUAUAACGGUCCUAAGGUAGCGAAAUUCCUUGUCGGGUAAGUUCCGACCUGCACGAAUGGCGUAAUGAUGGCCAGGCUGUCUCCACCCGAGACUCAGUGAAAUUGAACUCGCUGUGAAGAUGCAGUGUACCCGCGGCAAGACGGAAAGACCCCGUGAACCUUUACUAUAGCUUGACACUGAACAUUGAGCCUUGAUGUGUAGGAUAGGUGGGAGGCUUUGAAGUGUGGACGCCAGUCUGCAUGGAGCCGACCUUGAAAUACCACCCUUUAAUGUUUGAUGUUCUAACGUUGACCCGUGAUCCGGGUUGCGGACAGUGUCUGGUGGGUAGUUUGACUGGGGCGGUCUCCUCCUAAAGAGUAACGGAGGAGCACGAAGGUUGGCUAAUCCUGGUCGGACAUCAGGAGGUUAGUGCAAUGGCAUAAGCCAGCUUGACUGCGAGCGUGACGGCGCGAGCAGGUGCGAAAGCAGGUCAUAGUGAUCCGGUGGUUCUGAAUGGAAGGGCCAUCGCUCAACGGAUAAAAGGUACUCCGGGGAUAACAGGCUGAUACCGCCCAAGAGUUCAUAUCGACGGCGGUGUUUGGCACCUCGAUGUCGGCUCAUCACAUCCUGGGGCUGAAGUAGGUCCCAAGGGUAUGGCUGUUCGCCAUUUAAAGUGGUACGCGAGCUGGGUUUAGAACGUCGUGAGACAGUUCGGUCCCUAUCUGCCGUGGGCGCUGGAGAACUGAGGGGGGCUGCUCCUAGUACGAGAGGACCGGAGUGGACGCAUCACUGGUGUUCGGGUUGUCAUGCCAAUGGCACUGCCCGGUAGCUAAAUGCGGAAGAGAUAAGUGCUGAAAGCAUCUAAGCACGAAACUUGCCCCGAGAUGAGUUCUCCCUGACUCCUUGAGAGUCCUGAAGGAACGUUGAAGACGACGACGUUGAUAGGCCGGGUGUGUAAGCGCAGCGAUGCGUUGAGCUAACCGGUACUAAUGAACCGUGAGGCUUAACCUUACAACGCCGAAGGUGUUU